UUAAUAAUUUGGAGAAAGAACAACAAGGGCGAAAAGUAAGCCCAAGGAUUUAUUUUCUUGGACCAACCAUGAGGUGGAACUGCUACUGAAAGGCAAGCAAGCUAACCGAUAAGACUGACUGACGUAGGUGUCUGCAUUCGCUUCCAAAGUUCUCAGUUUCUGCCUGUACAGACUACAACGCAACCCUGCAAGAUUCAAACUUAAACGGAUUGAUCGACGUUUCCAAAUGUCUUUGUGUAAGGGUCGCGGAAAUGCCCGAGUAGUGUGGAUACAAGGCCUAAACAUAGCAAUAAAUAUGCGUUUUUAAGGAAAACACUAUUAAAGUGGAUAUAGUCCAAGAAAGACAACAGUUUUACAGCAGCAUUGAGCAUGUUCCUGCUAUCAAAGAGAGCUUUACAGUGACGAUAUGAUCACUUACCUCAGGAUCCAGGAACAUAGGAAGGAAGCAGGAACGUAAGAAGGAUCCAGGAACGUCAAACAACAACAAUUUGACGGCAAAGAGGUUGAGGCUCACGAAAGGAACGUAGGAAGGAAGCAGGAACGUAUGACGGAUCCAGGAACGUCAAACAAUGAGGCGAAGAGGUUGAGGCUCACGAAAGGAUCCAGGAACAUAGGAAGGAAGCAGGAACGUAAGAAGGAUCCAGGAACGUCAAACAACAACAAUUUGACGGCAAAGAGGUUGAGGCUCACGAAAGGUAAGAGCAAUGAG